UCCGGGCCAGAGAGCGAAUCCUCAGGGCCCGCAGGCACGCUCAGAAGAGCUCCUCCCCGAGGCGGAAGCGGCCCGGGGGCGUGUCCGAGGAUAGGCCACGCCCCUCUGUCAACUCCAGAAGCCGGAACCGCCCGGGCCAGGGAAGAGCCGAAGCCUGAAGAAUGAGUAUGAGUUUGCCAGAGAAUGGGGAAGAGGAGUGUGAGCAGAGAGAAAAAGAGUGAAGUGAGUCAUUAAGUCUGGUCCGGGUUGAAGAGGAGGGAUAACUCCACGUCAGGAAGGGAAGGAACAAAUCAUGUACAUCUCUGAAGACUACAAAAUCUACUUAAGUAUUAUUUUGUGCAUUUCAAAAAAGUAGAUGUGGCCAUGUGCCGGAAAUCUGGCCAGUGGAAUUAUGGACAAUUCUCCAUGCUCUUUUUUCCUUCUAUUGCAACUUUGGAAGCAUUGUGUUCAGUCAAAAUAGAGACACAAGGUGGAAGGAGGUUGGUUCCUUGAAUCAUCACUUAGGGGAGAAUAAUUUAUUGAUCAGUGAUGAAUCCUGUUUUGGAUUUCAUAAGUAAAAAAUAAACUUAUUAGGCAUUUGAGAUGUUAGCAUAAACUAUGCUGGCAUAAUUCACUCAUACAAUGGGAUUGUAGGAGACUUUUACUUUCUAUAGUAGGAAGUGCUUGCAUUUUGUGGAACUUUGUAUUGCAUCAAUAUUUAACCUUGUACGUGACAUAUAUUUUUUUAAAAAUUAAUGUUUCAUAAUUUAUAAUUAGCUCUAUCUCCUUGUUCUCUGAGUAAUCCUUUC